UACGUAGGGUGCAAGCGUUGUCCGGAAUUAUUGGGCGUAAAGAGCUCGUAGGCGGUUUGUUGCGUCGGCUGUGAAAACCUGAGGCUCAACCUCAGGCCUGCAGUCGAUACGAGCAGACUAGAGUGUUGCAGGGGAGACUGGAAUUCCUGGUGUAGCGGUGAAAUGCGCAGAUAUCAGGAAGAACACCUAUGGCGAAGGCAGCUCUCUGGGACGGUACUGACGCUGAGACGCGAAAGCGUGGGGAGCGAACAGG
rnacentral:rRNA from 1 species